rnacentral:rRNA from 1 species
UACGAAGGGGGCUAGCGUUGCUCGGAAUCACUGGGCGUAAAGGGUGCGUAGGCGGGUUUUUAAGUCAGGGGUGAAAUCCUGGAGCUCAACUCCAGAACUGCCUUUGAUACUGGCGACCUUGAGUCCGGGAGAGGUGGGUGGAACUGCGAGUGUAGAGGUGAAAUUCGUAGAUAUUCGCAAGAACACCAGUGGCGAAGGCGGCUCACUGGCCCGGUACUGACGCUGAGGUGCGAAAGCGUGGGGAGCAAACAGG